rnacentral:rRNA from 1 species
UACGAAGGGGGCUAGCGUUGUUCGGAAUCACUGGGCGUAAAGGGCGCGUAGGCGGCCGAUCAAGUCGGGGGUGAAAGCCCGAGGCUCAACCUCGGAACUGCCUUCGAUACUGCGGGUCUCGAGUCCGGGAGAGGUGAGUGGAAUUCCUAGUGUAGAGGUGAAAUUCGUAGAUAUUCGGAAGAACACCAGUGGCGAAGGCGACUUACUGGACACAUAUUGACGCUGAGGUGCGAAAGCGUGGGGAGCAAACAGG